GCGGGUCGCUCUCACUUGUCCCUGGACCGCAGCCGCCGCAUAAGUGGUGGCCAACGCUGGGCCUGGGUGUGGCCGGAAGCAGAGGCCGCUCUGACUACACACCCACCCCCCAAAGGCUUCUGGGAGUCGCGCAGGCGCAGCGGCAGACCGGGUCUCCUGGCCUCAGUGAUGGAAUUAAGAUGACUUCUAUCUCUGAAUCCAAGGGUGACUGAAAGCCGCAAGCUGCAGAAAGGACAAGAGGCAUCACCUAUGUGGAUAAAGACAGCAUCCUGAGUUGAUGGAGAAAUGGCAUAGAAGGAACCAGGUCCUUUGAUGACAUCAUGGAGCAAAGCUGUCUUCUUGCCUUGACCUGCUACCUACCUACAUGGGAAGCUGUUACUUGAGAAGGCAAUAAAAUCUAUCUUCUUUAUUGACA
rnacentral:lncRNA from 1 species